GAAAACUUAGAAACUACCGUUGGAUCGAGAAAUGGACGUCCGAGAUUCGUCCAAGUCACCAUGAGUUAAAAUUUAACUCUCAGAAAAAUUUUAACUCAUGAGUAAAUCCACGAGUUAAAUUUUAACUCAUUGUGACGUGGACGAAUCUCGGACGUCCAUUUCUCAAUCCAACGGUAGUUUCUAAAUUUCC
rnacentral:pre_miRNA from 1 species